AGUGAACGCUGGCGGUAGGCCUAACACAUGCAAGUCGAACGGCAGCACAGUAAGAGCUUGCUCUUACGGGUGGCGAGUGGCGGACGGGUGAGGAAUACAUCGGAAUCUACUUUUUCGUGGGGGAUAACGUAGGGAAACUUACGCUAAUACCGCAUACGACCUACGGGUGAAAGUAGGGGAUCUUCGGACCUUGCGCGAUUGAAUGAGCCGAUGUCGGAUUAGCUAGUUGGCGGGGUAAAGGCCCACCAAGGCGACGAUCCGUAGCUGGUCUGAGAGGAUGAUCAGCCACACUGGAACUGAGACACGAUCCAGACUCCUACGGGAGGCAGCAGUGGGGAAUAUUGGACAAUGGGCGCAAGCCUGAUCCAGCCAUACCGCGUGGGUGAAGAAGGCCUUCGGGUUGUAAAGCCCUUUUGUUGGGAAAGAAAAGCAGCAGGUUAAUACCCCGCUGUUCUGACGGUACCCAAAGAAUAAGCACCGGCUAACUUCGUG
rnacentral:rRNA from 1 species